UACGGGGGGAGCAAGCGUUGUUCGGAUUUACUGGGCGUAAAGGGCGCGUAGGCGGCCAGCGCAAGUCAGUUGUGAAAUCUCCGGGCUUAACUCGGAACGGUCAACUGAUACUGCGCGGCUAGAGUGCAGAAGGGGCAACUGGAAUUCUCGGUGUAGCGGUGGAAUGCGUAGAUAUCGAGAGGAACACCUGCGGCGAAGGCGGGUUGCUGGGCUGACACUGACGCUGAUGCGCGAAAGCCAGGGGAGCGAACGGG
rnacentral:rRNA from 1 species